rnacentral:rRNA from 1 species
CACGGAGGGUGCAAGCGUUAUUCGGAAUCACUGGGCGUAAAGCGCGCGUAGGCGGUCUCUUAAGUCAGGUGUGAAAGCCCGGGGCUCAACCCCGGAAGUGCAUUUGAAACUAAGGGACUUGAGUAUGGGAGAGGGAAGUGGAAGUCCUGGUGUAGCGGUGAAAUGCGUAGAUAUCAGGAGGAACACCGGUGGCGAUGGCGACUUCCUGGACCAAUACUGACGCUGAGGCGCGAAGGCGUGGGGAGCAAACAGG